GACAGAGGGUGCAAACGUUGCUCGGAAUCAGCUGGGCAUAAAGCGCACGUAGGCCGUCUACUAAGUCCGAUGGUGAAAUCCCCCGGCUCAACCGGGGAACUGCAUCGGAUACUGGUGGACUCGAGAGUUGGUAGGGGUGGACGGAACUCCAGGUGGAGCGGUGAAAUGGCGUAGAUAUCGUGGAGGAACACCGGAGGCGAAAGCGGUCCACUGGGCAACUUCUGACGCGUGAGGUGGCGAAAGCUAGGGUAGCAAACGGG
rnacentral:rRNA from 1 species